GGUCUGGUGGCUCAGCGGUAGAGUGUGCACCUAAAAUAAAACCAGGCUAACGACGGUAUAUGUGCAAGGCGCCGGUUCGACUCCGGCCCAGGCCU